AACCUGCCCUUCAGAGGGGGACGAACAGUUGGAAACGACUGCUAAUACCGCAUACGAUCUAACCUCGGCAUCGAGGAUGGAUGAAAGGUGGCCUCUAUUUAUAAGCUAUCACUGAAGGAGGGGAUUGCGUCUGAUUAGCUAGUUGGAGGGGUAACGGCCCACCAAGGCGAUGAUCAGUAGCCGGUCUGAGAGGAUGAACGGCCACAUUGGGACUGAGACACGGCCCAGACUCCUACGGGAGGCAGCAUG
rnacentral:rRNA from 1 species